rnacentral:lncRNA from 1 species
GAUGCCCAUGCAAUUAGUCACGGGCUAAAAAUGAAGCGACUUCAAAUACCAUCAUAAAAUGGUAUUGUUGGGCUUCAAGAAGACAGUGAACAUUUUUGGCGAAUUUUUAGGACGUUCCCUGGCGUGACUCAUUUCCUCCCCUUAUCUGUGGAAUGUAGGCUUACUGAAAUCUCUUCAGCUACAUCUUGCCAGUUUCCCCCUAACCAGUGAAUUAACUGCUUUUGUAUUGUGACUAGGGCAGUGUUCUUCAUUGUUAAAACAUACUUUAAAAACCUGUAGUAUCAUUUGUGAUAUUUUAGUUGACUAGAAGACAAACUAAAUUUAAAAGCAAAACAAACAAGCUACUCUGUGAAGAGCUAGCUGAGUUAGUUAUGAGCACUGGUCUUCUGUCUGUGACCACAGUACCAGGGCACCUGAGGUCCCCUUCUGGCCUCUGAGGGUCCUGCAGGCAAAACAGGUAUCCAUAAAAUAAAAAUGAACGGCCCGAGAAUACCCCGUGCUACAUCUUAAGUUAGGAUGAAGGUAUAAAACAAUCUAACACAUCUCCAGUAAGUGAAGCGUGUGUGGUUUGAAACGUACCGUGAAGAGGUUUAAGGGUGGGGAAGCUAAUGUCGUUUCUAAAUUUAAUUAAGGGGUCACUCAGCUUCCCGGUACAACUAGCCUUGGAAAGGACCCCGCCGCAGGGAAGUCCUGGGGUUCCUGAGAUUUCAGAGGUCGCUAGUCAGUCAGGAUUCUUGCAAAAAGUGCUUAUACGCCAUUGUUUGUUUUCCUUGAAAAGAGCCCCUUAAUUUUAAGCUAGUCGAUAAUGAGACGGGCGCGCUCUCUCUAGCCACCAGCAAGUCAAGUUGAAUUCUCUGAACUUCCUUUGCAAAGGUGGCCGGAAGUCCCUGCCCUGCUGCUCACCUAGACCAGAGAAAUGCUGCCUCUUAAGAGUACCUGAAAGGAAAGCAAGUGGUCACGGUUCUCUGCCAGCCACCACUGCUUAACCACACCAAUCAGGUCACUAGGAAAGCGGCAUGAAUUUCAGGACUAGAAUCUAGAGCCGCGAAGCUGGGAUGCGGGAGCGCUGGGUAAGGGGGUUGUUGUGUUGGUCCCAUCCAGUUUCAGUUGUUGGGGACGGGGCAUGCUGCUUUGCUUCUGAGCAGAAUGUGUUUCCUCCCCUGUUUCAGCUCCUCCCUGUGAUGUGUGUAUGUUUCUACUUAGGCCGCACCCCCAGAUCUCCUCUGAAGUUUCUUGGUAUUUAACCAGUUAUCUUCCUUGGCCAUAUCAUCAGCUGGCUGUAUUCUAGCAUACCCGUUUUUUAGAAGGGAUUAUUAGUGCCUUUCGCUUUCAUACUGUUAUUUUUAGAUGUGCCAUUCCUAAGACUCGGAGGUUAAUGACCUGUAUGUUUACCUUUUAGUAGUUGGGGGAGAUGCUUUCUUGCGCAUGAUCAUGUUUUAAAGCCUGUGCUGGAUAUGGAGAUAGAUAUAGAUAUAGAUAUAGAUAUAGAUAUAGAUAUAGAUAUAGAUAUAGAUAUAGAUAUAGAUAUAGAUAUAGAUAUAGAUAUAGAUAUAGAUAUAGAUUCAUCUUGACACAAACUAGGGUCAACUGAAGAAAUAACCUUCAUCAGAUUGGCCUGUAGGCAAGUCUGUGGAGGUGUUUUCUUCAUUAAUAUUAAUGUGGGAGGGCCGAGCCCAGCCCACUGUAGGUGGAGCCAUCCCCUUGGGAAGUAGUGCUGGGCUAUAUAAGAAAGGCUGAGCAAACCAUGUGGAUUAAGCCAGUAAGUAGCCUUCUUCCAAAGCCCCUCCCUCAGUUCCUGCUUCCGUGUUCCUAUCUUGACUUCCUUUCACGGACGAUAAACCAUAGGAUGACGUAAAUCCUUUCCUCUCCAAGUUGCAUUUUGUCAUGGCGUUCAUUACAGCGAUGGAGAAGCAACCUAACACAAAGCCGAAGAAAAACCUUAAAACCUGUAAUUCGGUCUUCGCAUCAUUUUUACCUAACUGGACACAUAAAUAACAUACCUUUUCCCCAGUGCUCCAAGUGAGCACAGAUGCACGGGGUCCCCAUAGCUUUUUUCUGUGCACAGCAAGACCACUAUUUAUCUUUAGCUGUGUUGGAAUGACUGAUCUCAAGUGCUAUGGUUGUCGGUAAGAAUAAAUUAUAGUGUAUCUCCUACAAAUAUAUAAGAAAUACAUAUUAUCAUAAUAUUAUAUAUUAAGAAAAAUAUAUACACUUUGUAGACCAGGCUGGCCUCGAACUCAGAAAUCUGCCUGCCUCUGCCUCCCGAAUGCUGGGAUUAAAGGCAUGCGCCACCACCGCCUGGCACUACAAUUUCUUAUAUAUAAAGUAUUGUGUGUCUGCUAGAAAUAAACCCGUGGCAUAUGUGUUUAUUUUUGGUUUCUGUUUUGUUUGCUUUCUUUCUUCCUGCCUCUCUUGGAUGUUUUCUCUUCUGUAGUUCAUGUACACAGAGACAACUUGUCUGCUCUGUUGAGCUCCUCGGACUUUGGCCUGGUCUAUAGCAUCAGAGUCUUCCCACGCUCUUCGACCUUCUACCACUGACCACAUCCAUCGAUGAUCUUUAGAUCUCUCUCCUCCCUUCAGAGUCCCACUCCUGCCGUGAUGGGAUGGUUUGUAUAAGCUUGGCCCAGGGAGUGGCACUAUUAGGAGGUGUGGCCUUAUUAUAGUGGGUGUGGCCUUGUUAGAGUGGGUGUGUCAUUGUGGGAGGGGCCUUAAGACCCUCAUCUUAGCGGCAUGGAAGUCAGUCUUCCACCAGCAGCCUUCAGAUGAAGAUGUAGAACUCUCAGCUCCUUCUCCAGCACCAUGCCUGCCUGGGUACUCCCAUGUUCCCAGAACCUUCAUGAUAGUGGACUGAACUUCUGAACCUGUAAGCCAGCCCCAAUUAAAUGUUGUUUUUAUAAG